rnacentral:lncRNA from 1 species
AUUUUAGUUAUCUGUCUGUUCCUAAGGUUAAUGGUCUUAAGUAAAGCCCUUAGCCUAUUAAGAAGCCACUAGUCUAUAGGGUCUCCAUUCUAACAUUCUAUGCUGUAAAGUCCCUUCCAACUGACAUUCCCUGUAUUUCCAUCAGAAAAUAGACUAGCAGAAGGGAGCAGGUUGCUGCUAAGGAAAAUCUUUCCUAGGCCCCCUUACUUCACCAUGGAAGACUUCCUGUUGCAGAGUGGGGGUCCUCUCCCUUUCCCCACAUCCACAUUCCCCUUGAGAGCUGACAUUUUCAUUUCUGGACCAGCCUGACCCCGGGCUUGUUCUCUGACCCAUUCUGACCGGGUGCUGGCCCCUGUGUCCUCAGUGCUAUGUGGCCCCCCUCCAGCGGUGGAGAACGCCUCGCCAGUCGGCCCUCGGAAGGCCAAGUACAGUAUCCACUCGAGUGUGCGCUACCAGUGUGACCAGGGCUUCACGCAGCACCACGUGGCCACCAUCAAGUGUCACAGCAAUGGAAAGUGGGACCGGCCCAAAAUUGUCUGCACCAAACCUCGUAGGUCACACCGCCUACGGCGCCAUCACCACCACCACCAGCAGCAUCACCACCAGCAUCAUCACCAUAAAUCCCACAAGGAACGGAGAAAACACAAGAAGCAUCCCAAGAUGGACUGGGAGAAGGAGGAGGAAGACAACUUCUGCUGAAGGGCUAAGGCAUAAGAAGCACAACCCCAAUUCCCACUCUGACAGAACCCUCGCUCUUUCCCAAUCUCCUUUGUAAAAAGCCCUCUCCAUCCCUGUUUCUCACUCCCACAAGGUUCUCCCAUGUAUUUGAAGCAUGGUCUGAUCUACAACAGACCUUUGGUGUAAUGUCCUAAUCAAAAGAAGAACAAUCAGAAAGGGUAUAUUAUGCUUUGGUUUAACCUUCUGUUCACAAGGCUGAUUGUUUAUUUGUAGUAAGGGAAUUUGGCACAUGAAAAUACAUUUGAAUUUACUUUCGAGAAUUUUUUUUCCCACUUUGGGAACCAAGAAUAGCUAACGCACUAUUGUGCCAGUGGCCUAGUCAGAGCUGAAACUUUACCUAAAAUGAUUAUUCUUGAGAAAAGAAGGAUGACAAAAAUGUGUACAUGACUUUGAUUGUUCUCCCUCAUCAUGGACAUUAACUGUUAGAUUUUUAUGACAUGACAGACACACAUCUACACACCUACAUGUGUGUGUAUCUUAUUUUGGUCUGAAUAUAAGAUUUAACAGUUUUUUAAUCACAACCUCUCAAUUCUUGUAGUAUACCACUAUCCAUAUCCAUACCCACUCAGUUACUCAAAAACGCUUAACCUUUAACUAGGAUGGGACGAUACUUUUAGAAUGUUAUGGGAGUGGGGUCAAUUUAUAGUCAGGGUUGACCUAUAUUCAGAGCAAUAUGACAGGUGAUGGAAGGAGGUUGGAUUAGAUGGACUUUAAAAUCCCUUCCAACUCUGAGAUUCUACAACUCGGAUACUAAAAUUCUGUGUGACAUGUAAAGAUUCCAUGAUUCUGAGAUUCUCUGAUUCUCAGACUCUGUGAUUGGCAGAAUCUAUUAUUCAUAUUAUCGAAGAAUCUUUGAUUCUAAGGUUCUGUGAUUCUGAGUUUUUAUGAUUCUAUGAUUCUAAGACUCUUUGCUUGGCAGGAUAACAGGAUGACUUGGACUGGCAAGGCUCUGGUUCCUUCAUACCUCUUGUCUUCAAGAUGCCAGACCUAGGGGAUCUGGACAGCUAGCCAGGCCUUGAAGCUCCUUGCCAGUCUGAGGAAGGGGCCAGUUUGUCUACACCUCUACCCCCAUUCCUCCAUAGCUCAGGCAUUAAUAGUCUCCCAGACUAUAUCUUCACCCUAAGCUCUUCCUUAUCUCCUCUCUAGCCAUUCCCCAUUCCCCACCCCACAACUCUCUCCAAUUUCCCCCUCCCACCUUGUGCCCAUUUCCAGCGGCUGGCUGGUUGAAUAGAAAUGCAUAAAACUCAAAGUAGCAACACCCACCUGUGAUCGUAUUGUAGAAAGGUUUGCAGUAUUAAAAAAAAAAAAAAAAAAAAAACACAAACACACACACACUUUUUUUAAAACAGGUUUUUUGUUUGUUUUUUAAAACAAAGAUGUGAGAAAGAAUGAGUGUUUCUCCCAGUCCAGAGAAGCCCUUUCCCUUCCCAGACCCCGUUCCUAUUUUUAGCUCAGAACCAUAACAAGCAGAACAGUGAAUUGUACCCAGUGUGAAGUGACAAGUCUUAGUACCACAGUCUGGGACAUAGUCCUCAUUGAGCCUAGUGGAGUCAGUGGAGGACAAGCCCAGUCUGCUGCCUGAGUCCCAGACAAUACAGGGUAUAUUAUGGCUGAAAGACCAAACAUAGGAUCAUCGCCCUAAGCUGAUAAGAACAAGGAGCAAAUCCAGUAUUCUGGGUUCUGUAUAUAUUUCCUAGUUUUUAAAAAAAUCAUUUUUAAAAAAUUGUAAAUGAAAGAGUAGGCUUUGAUCAUAAGUUUUAAUAGGGGGAGAGUUUCAACUGAGCCUGGGUUCCUGCUGUGAGAAUUUAAACAAUGCUUUUAUCACAGGUGGUAAUAGGCUCUCAGGAAGAUGGGGCAUUUGUUAAACGAUGGGGGAGGGGGGAGUGCAGAAGGGAUGGGGGUCAUGAUACUUAGCACUAAGGGGAGACAAAGAAAAAUAAGACAUAGUCCCCACUUCUGAAACUUGACAAUAGAUGUUCAAACAGGACCCUAAUUUGGAAUUUUUCUCUUUAUUUUUUCCUGCUAUGAACAUGAACUGUCGUUCAGUCUCUAAAGUGGUCCUAUCGAGCCACAGUCUGGUGCUGGUUUUGUCCUUUUCUUCCAGGAGAGUCCAUAAGUUUCCAUUCAAAGCCUUUUCUACAUUUAAAUGAGGCCGGGAAAAGAUAUUCAUGAUUAUUUGCCUACCCAUCUUCCCUUUCUCUUUGGACUCACUGUAACUUUGGUCUCUUCUUAGUCUCUGAUUUUUCUGCCGCCAUCUCAUGGCCCCCUCCCCGGCUGGGGGAAAUAUAUCUCUCUUUUUUUUCCCCCCUCAACGGGGUUGUUUAUUAUCUUUGUAUGUGGAUGCGUGGGUAUGCUGUGUGCGUGUGUUUGAAAAGCUUUGGACUCAGCUGGUUUUGCUGUGACUACAGUGUUCCGUAGGCCUGUGGUAUCUGACACUGUGCAUUGGUGUGCUCUCUUGGACAUUUUAAUAAAUUUUUUUAACAGUUCAACCUACUUGUCGUCUCCUCCUUGGCUCAGCUGUCAGGAUUGGUAACCAUCCUAUCAUAGGUUUCUAGGGACUGGUGGUUCAGGCUCAGCUUGGUCGGCAUCUCCCAAGAUGCUUCAACACUCAAUGUAUUAGUCAUAGUAUACUGGAAAGAAUUCAGAACUCGGACUUGAAAGAUCUGAGUCUGCAUUGACUAUGUGACCCUGAAAGUAAUUUAGCUUCUCUGAGAUUCAAUCUGCAAAAUGGGAUAAUAUUAUUUAUAUGACAGGGAUUAUAAGGAAAAAGGUCUGUACUCCUUAUAUAGACUAUAUAGUAAUAGAUAAACAUAUCUAAUAAUAAUAAUAAGUAGACUGUAAUCGAUAUAAUAAUAGACUAGAUAUAAUAGACCAGUGAUGGAUAGAUAUAACAAUAGACUAUAUGAUAUAAUAAUAGACUGUAUAAAUAUAGUCUUUAGAUAGAAAAAUGAGCUGUCAUUUUCAUGGUAUUAGUUUGAAUAGUCAGUAAUGAAUUAGUCUGAAAAGAUUUGCU